AGAUGGACGUCACCUCCACCCUUUCCUGUUCUUCUGAAGUUCAGCUCGACAUACAGCCGAAGAGGACUCUGGGAUUCCCCAUAAUUUUCCAUUAAAGAUGACGGUUUUGUUCUAGAACAUUCACGUUCUCUCUCUCGUCUGCCCCUUUGUGAUCUCAGAAACUUGACUCGAUGACAAUUCUGUGCAAUGCUAAUGGAAAGGUUUCUCUGUGUAACGAGUGAAAACACUUGCCAUGGACGACUCUGCUCUAAUCAGGUGACUUGAAAAUUCUCAGACAUUCGUGUGGAAGUCCAUCUCAAGCCAUCAGUUUUGAGUUUUCUGGGCAAGAAACUUGGACAUCUGGGAGAGGUAGAAUGUCCGUGGAAUGAUAUUCAAAACUCUGGUACUGACUACGAAAUAGAAAAGAAGAUCAUUGGGAUGGAGCAAACACACAACAAGCAGUUUUCAAAGAUUCGAGUUUAUGGCAUCCACUCUUUUAAAUAUAACAGAGGGGAGGAUCGGGGAAGACUCCAUCUUGCCCCAAUGGACUUUUCUUCUGGUCUCCUGAGGAAGUCAAGAGGAAGGACUGAAGAGGAUUUCUCUGUGUUGACCUGAGGAAAGUUUCCUGUAUCUGGCUGCUGGCAAUAUUCAGUCUCACUUGGACAUCAGGACUUGCUUGGACAUCUAACAAGAACAGAUCCUGGCUCUAA